UUUGAGCAUGUGUAAUGGCAUGAAUGUGUUGAAUUAGUAAUCCCUUGUGUUAAGCUGUUGUUUUAGUGUUCUUUUGAUGAGUUUGGCUUGUUGUUAGGGCCCGAGCCAGCUGCAGAGCAGCCGGGCGUAGGCCCUUUUAUUCCUGUAGUGGUUUUUAGGGCCCGAGCGUAGCUGCUAAGCAGCUGUGAGAGCCCUCUUGUUCCUGAUGGAUUCUUCUUUUGUUAUUAUUAUUAUUAUUAUUAUUUUUCCUCCUCUUUAAACUGGAAAAUGGCCCACUUCCCACUGGCGAAAACUCAGGAAAUUUGGCAGGACGACCGGGCCUGGUGAAAAAUUCGAUAUUCUGAAGUCGCCCAAACAAUAAAAUACAAAAUGGCUCCAUAGCGCCCCCUAAGGUGAAAAUUCACACUAUUGACUGUCACGCCUGUACGCUUUGUCAUAUUGACACAAAAAUUGACACACACAUGUAUCUCCAUAAGAUCUAUGAAAAAGUCAGUGCGGGCGUAUCUGUCAAAUGUACGGUUAAAGGCACACAUUGGAAUUUCACUAACUCCUCCGAAGGCUUUCGGUCCACCGGCACCACAUUUGCUCAGGCCAAUCUACACUCCAUGGCCAUUCAAAGUUGUACAAAUCGUGAUGCUGCACCCCAUGGUUUAGGUUCUAGGGGGCGCCAAAAAUAACCCUAAAAUCCACAUUCUUAAAAGUUUUAUAACUUUUUAUUUUUGCCCUCACUGGCCUCCAAGUUUUCUAGGAUGAUGCAAUGUCCAGCCAUCAACACAUUUGUGAAGGAAUUUUUACUCCCCAAAAGAGCGCCCCCCCCCCAUGGCAGGACAAAAAAGUCAAUUUUUUCUUGUCCCUUAAGGUGAAAAUACACAUUGUUGAAUGACACGCCUGUACGCUUUGUCAUAUUGACACAAAAUUUGACAAUCACGUGUAUCUCAAUAAGAUCUACGAAAAAGUCAAUGCGCGCGUAUCUGUAAAAUGUACGGUUAAAGGGCUAUUUCGCAUUUUUUGCCGAUUCGCACACAUUGGAAUGUGGCUAACUCCUCCUAAGGCUUUCGUCCCACUGACACCAAAUUUGCUCAGGCCAAUCUACACCCCAUGGCCAUUCAAAGUUGUAAAAAUCAUGACGCUGCACCCCAUGGUCUACGUUCUAGGGGGCGCCAAAGAGGACCCAAAUAUCCACAUUUUUAAAGUCUUAUAACUUUUUAUUUUUGUCCUCACUGGCCUCCAAGUUUUCUAGGAUGAUGCAAUGUCCAGCCAUCAACACAUUUGUGAAGGAAUUUUUUCUCCCCAAAAGAGCGCCCCCCCAUGGCAGGAGAAAAAGUCAAGUUUUUCCUGCCCAUCGCUCAAUGGCUCAAACGCAUCGCUCUCUCGGCAAAACCGAAAGGAGGAGCAACUUGCCAUUUGGAUAUAUACUAGCUGUGUUUGUGCCCUCACUCAUGGUCCAGAAUUUUUUCAAAAAGGACAUGGAGUUUGUCUGCAGCGAGCGUUUUGGUAGAAACUGCGCCUCCCAUUCAUUAUAAUGGUAAAUGACCACAGACAAGUGCGCACACCAUCUUUGGACCUUGAGUGUGACGCGAUCGGGAGGGGUAGGCGGUCGCGCUGGGGGCGGUGUGACACGGCUCGGGCCCGCCAGUGCCCCACCGGGGCCCUAGUUCUUUGUUUCUUUUUUCUUUUUCCUCCCCUUUGAACUGGAAAAUGGCCCACUUCCCACUGGCGAAAACUCAUGAAAUUUGGCAGGACGACCGGGCCUGGUGAAAAAUUUGAUAUUCUGAAGUCGCCCAAACAAUACAAUGCAAAAUGGCUCCAUAGCGCCCCCUAAGGUGAAAAAUUCACCUGACGCCUGUACGCUUUGUCAAAAUGACAGAAAAAUUGACACACACAUGUAUCUCAAUAAGAUCUACAAAAAAGUCAGUGCGGGCGUAUCUGUCAAAUGUACAGUUAAAGGGUUAUUCCGCAUUUUUUGCAGAUCCGCACACAUUGGAAUUUCGCUAACUCCUCCGAAGGCUUUCGUUCCACCGGCACCACAUUUGCUCAGGCCAAUCUACACCCCAUGGCCAUUAAAAGUUAUUCAAAUCAUGACGCUGCACCCCACGGUUUAGGUUCUAUGGGGCGCCAAAGAUAACCCUAAAAUCCACAUAUUUAAAAGUCUUAUAACUUUUUAUUGUUGUCCCCACUGGCCUCCAAGUUUUCUAGGAUGAUGCAAUGUCCAGCCAUCAACACAUUUGUGAAGGAAUUUUUACUCGCCAAAAGAGCGCCCCCCCAUGGCAGGAGAAAAAAGUCCAUUUUUUCUUGUCCACUAAGGUGAAAAUACACAUUGUUGAGUGCUACGCCUGUAUGUUUUGUCGUAUUGACACAAAAUUUUACAUACAUGUGUAUUUCAAUAAGAUCUACGAAAAAGUCAAUGGGCACGUAUCUGUAAAAUGUAUGGUUAAAGGGCAAUUUCGCAGUUUUUGGCGAUUUGCACACAUUGGAAUUUCGCUAACUCCUCUGAAGGCUUAAGUUCCACUGUCACCAAAGUUGCUCAGGCUAAUCUACACUCCAUGGCCAUUCAAAGUUGUAAAAAUCGUGACGCUGCACCCCACGGUUUAUGUUUUAGGGGGCGCCAAAGAUGACCCAAAUAUACAUUACAGUAGACAAAGUAGUUUUGCCCACUGAGUGGCGCCAAAGGGACUUGUCUGUGGAGUCUGUGAGUCACUAUUGGCCGUUUUUGACUACUUUAGAUUUUACCUUUAUAUUUCCUCUUACAAAAUUUUACCUUGCCUUGCCUGGUAUCAUUUUUUUCAGCACAACCUCACCUGUGUCAAUUUACAGUUAUUUUAUCAUUUUGACAUACUAUAUUUACACAUUGGACCCAAAUUCACACAUAAAACAUAAAAUCCGAGUGGAAAAAAGUAACGUUUUUACUGUGAAAACCACAAAUAUGUGUGAUGAACUGUUUUUAAAACUUUAACUUCAAAUAAAAAUUGUAAACUUCAAAACAUAUGCAAAUUUUUAACAAAGAACAUAGUAAUUUACCUCUAUUUACAUCAAAAUGCAGGCAAUGGCCCAGGCGUUCUUUGUAAAAUUAUUUACAAAACACUGUAUAGUCUCACAAAUGUCACUUUUUAUUUAUGCCACUACAAAAAAACAUGAUGUAAAUGAUGCAUGAUGUAAAACAUGAUGUAAAAAACUUGUGUAGAUCCUCCUCUAUGUUAGUCCAUGUGUAAUUUUUCCAUAAUUCUUUGUUUUUUGCAGCAUUUUUGUUAGUGUAACUGCAGAUUGUGCUGACAGUGUCUGUGGCAAAAAAAAAAAAAAAAAAAAAACUGAAAAUGCCUCAACAUGAACCCCUGGUGGUCUCUGAGGGUGAAACCUGCUAACUGCUGCAGCUCUGUCAGCUUCAGUCUCCCAUGCAGAGCUCGGAGCGCAUGUGUGGCUCUGCACCCUUAGCAGCGUUGCUAACUCCUCAGUAAGGAAAGCCUGCUUCAUGUCAGAGUCUCUAAACUCCAGAACUCCAGAAGAAGUCGAUAAAAGUCCCUUUCUUUCUAAAAAAAAGUCAUUAGGGGGUCUGAAAAGUCAUUGAAUCUAACAACAAAGUCGCUAGGUUUGCAACUACGUGUCCCAGACUGCAUCCCUGCUGAGAGUCCCUCCCUCCCUUCUCAAGUUGCAGGAAGAACGCGAGCGCCCGUCCCGUGUCAAUCAGUCACCAUAUAAUUUUGGAUUGGUUGUUGUGGUGAAGUUUUCCAACAAUAGGAGAGAUCUUGUGGUGUGUUUUUUUCUUUUCUUUUGGCAAGUCUUUUCCGCCUGUAAGAGCUGUCGCUAAUGUCUGCAUGCUAUGUUUUCCUGUCUCAUACAGCGCGAUCGAGCGCCGAACGUGAUCAAAAUAAGCAGAAAAAAAGUAUUGCAGACAUAAUUUAUCAUAACUCUGGUUUUAUUUGGCCUAUCAACACAAUUUAAAAACUGGUAUAUAGUUUGAGGUCCUCACUUUUAAGAUAGGUUGAAACGGAGAAUCAACGAGGCUCCGUCUUGCAGCUACAUCCGGUUAAAUAUGUCAUGUGACUUGAACGCUGGGGAACGUCAAUCGACUGCAGAGCCAGCAGACAAAGUAGUUAUGGCCACUGAGAGGCACACAUUUGUCAUAUGCUAUAAUCCUAACAUAUUUAAAUGCUUUUUCUAUUUAAACCUAAUGGAUCUAAGCUUUGACCUUCAAAAUUUAGGAAGAAUAUGUUUUUGCAGUAAUGACCCCCUUAAACAACCAGAGGUCCUUUCCUAAAGUUUAUGGAAAUUUUAGUGAAGGCCUUGGUUUCUUUCCUUGCAAAAUGUAUAGAAAUAAUAAGGCUAAAUACCAUAAAAUGGUCUUGGCGUAUUAGCAGUGAUAUAAAAUAGUGGUUUGAAUAUGAAUGAACAACAAAAAAAAAAACCAUCAACAGAGCCUUUUUGAGUUGGGAUUCUUUCAUUAUCACACAAAAACAGACAUAGACAGACAUCUAAAGGGUAAGGGAAUGAUCAGCCCUCCUAACUCUCAGAUGAAUCUUCAAAAUUCACCUCAGAAAUAUGCUUAUUAUUCUUCUCAGAGUACUGCAGGACACACACACACACACACACACACACACACACACACACACACACACACACACACACACACACACACACACACACACACACACACUCAGAGUCUUUUUUUUUAGCACCUGCAAAAACUUGUUAUUAACAUAUUUGACAAGAAUGCAGAGGCUCCUUUUGCCCCUGAAAAAAAUCAGAUUUCGAACACAACUUGACUGGUCAUUUCUCCAAAAGACAACCAUGAAGCUCCAUCCAAACCUGAAGCAGGCAGUUGGUGCAUGUGUACAGUAACCUGAGGGGAGUGAGGUCACUGCUUCUGAGGAGAACAUGAGCAGUGAAGAUUCACCUUGGAGCUACAACAGGGAAGUGCACAUGAUAAUACAGGGGCAGGGGCUCAAGUUUUUUCCAGUCAUUUAUACAAUAUGGAAAUUAAUGUGAAAUUAAAAACAAAGUAUUAAUAGAAAGGUAAUGACUGUCCUGUGUAGGUGACAGUGAUAUCCAAUAGGCUAGGCACUCACGAGGCUGGCUGUGGCAAGUGUAAGUGAAAGCAACACGGACUGGCAGGAAGAACAGCAAACACCGAUGAAGGAAAAGGGUCUUUGCAGUGAUGGGCGUUACCAGAGAGGGCGAUGGCCAGAGGACGCGAAUGGGACGGGGAGGCAGCGCGUUGGGGGGGGGGGGGGGGGGGGGGGGGGGGGCACAUGGCUCGGGCCCGCCAGUGCCCCAACGGGGCCCUAGUUAUGAAAAGUUUUUGUUUUGGCGAGUUUGAACGU